rnacentral:rRNA from 1 species
ACGUAGGGUGCAAGCGUUGUCCGGAAUUAUUGGGCGUAAAGAGCUCGUAGGCGGUUCGUCGCGUCGGCUGUGAAAACCCGAGGCUCAACCUCGGGCCUGCAGUCGAUACGGGCGGACUGGAGUUCGGCAGGGGAGACUGGAAUUCCUGGUGUAGCGGUGAAAUGCGCAGAUAUCAGGAGGAACACCGGUGGCGAAGGCGGCCAUCUGGCCUGGAAUUGACGCUGAGGCGCGAAAGCGUGGGGAGCAAACAGGA